rnacentral:rRNA from 1 species
AUACGUAGGUGGCGAGCGUUGUCCGGAAUUACUGGGUGUAAAGGGCGUGUAGGCGGGUAUGCAAGUCAGAUGUGAAACCCCGAGGCUCAACCUUGGGCUUGUAUCUGAAACUGUGUAUCUUGAGUGUUGGAGAGGGAAGUGGAAUUCCUAGUGUAGCGGUGAAAUGCGUAGAGAUUAGGAGGAACACCAGUGGCGAAGGCGACUUCCUGGCCAAUAACUGACGCUGAGGCGCGAAAGCGUGGGGAGCAAACAGGAUUAGAUACCCUGGUAGUCCACGCCGUAAACGAUGGAUACUAGGUGUAGGUGAUGAAAAAUCAUCUGUGCCGUAGUAAACACACUAAGUAUCCCACCUGGGGAGUACGGCCGCAAGGUUGAA